GACGAACGCUGGCGGCGUGCCUAAUACAUGCAAGUCGACCUUAGUGGCGAAAGGGUGAGUAAAACGUGGGUAACCUGCCCAUCAGAAGGGGAUAACACAUGGAACCCGGUGCUAAGACCGUAGACUGUUGGCUGGAACCGCGGUGCAGUAGCUAGCUGGUGAGGUAACGGCUCACCAGGGCCACGUGGCAUAGCCGACCUGGGAGGGUGAUCGGCAACAUUGGGACUGAGACACGGCCCACACUCCUACGGGAGGCAGCAGUAGGGAAUCUUCGGCAAUGGGCGAAAGUCUGACCGAGCAACGCCGCGUGAGUGAAGAAGGUUUUCGGAUCGUAAAACUCUGUUGUUAGAGAAGCGGUAUCUAACCAGAAAGCCACGGCUAACUACGUGCCAGCAGCCGCGGUAAUAC
rnacentral:rRNA from 1 species